CACACACAGAUACGGAUUCAAAGAGACAUGCACACUCUGAGUUUCUGAGAGUAAGCCACUGUCAGUUCCUGGGGUGAGCCACCAGCCACAUGGACACAAUUUCCUCUUUUUGAUGGAAACGUUUUCUUCCAAAUUGUGCUGCACGUUUUUGGCGAGAGCAUGGGGCUGUGCGGCGUCCCCUCCCUGGCGCCCACCUGUGCCCUGCACACUGGCCUGCACUGUGGUGAUCUCGCUUGGCCCCCACCUGAUUCCCGACAUACAGCAGAGGAACCUUAGGCUCAGGUGGAACAGCCUCAACUGAUUCUGUCCCUGAACUUCCGUACACAGCCCUGGAGUCGUCUUAGAGCCAUGAUUUAUUUAACUGUUCUUUCAUUUUACAGAACAUAAAAUGUAUUGUUUCCAACUUUUUUCCUAUGGUAAAUAAUACUAAAGUAAAUAUCUCUGUGCAUGAAUCUUUUUGUAUAUGUUGGAAUAUCCUUAAGAUAAGGCCCCAGAACUAAAAGUACCCUGUCAAAAGGUGAGCAUUUCCGGUUCCCCUGCUGUGCUUUGCUGCGUUGUUCUCUCCUGCUGCAACGUUCUCACUCCACAAUCCUGGGGCAGGGAGGGGAGGCCCAGCUGAGUUUGGAUCAUAAUCCUGAAAGACACAAUCCCAAGCACCAUAAUGUGGAAUGUUGAAAUCCCUAAAGAUCAAAAUCCCUCAAGUCUAAAAUCCCUGAUAUUUCAGAUGACCACAGCUACAGGGCUAGGUGCACACAAUUAGUAACCGUAGCGAUAUACGUGUACACGUUUCUCUUUUGACUUAUUUCUUUAUGGUCUGUCUUCUUAUAACUGCUACACCCAUGCCGCCGUCGUUAGUUACCUCAGUGUUUAUGCAAAAAUACCUGUUAUCAUUGCCUAUUUUAUUGUGUAAAGUGGCCUAUGAAAUGUUCUGUUGUGUUUUUAUGUUUCUCAAAUACAUACCUUUUAAAAAUGUAAAUAAAUAACAUCGACAUUA
rnacentral:lncRNA from 10 species